UACGAAGGGUGCAAGCGUUAAUCGGAAUUACUGGGCGUAAAGCGUGCGCAGGCGGUUUUGUAAGUCUGUCGUGAAAUCCCCGGGCUCAACCUGGGAAUUGCGAUGGAGACUGCAAGGCUAGAAUCUGGCAGAGGGGGGUAGAAUUCCACGUGUAGCAGUGAAAUGCGUAGAGAUGUGGAGGAACACCGAUGGCGAAGGCAGCCCCCUGGGUCAAGAUUGACGCUCAUGCACGAAAGCGUGGGGAGCAAACAGG
rnacentral:rRNA from 1 species